rnacentral:rRNA from 1 species
AACGAACGCUGGCGGCAUGCCUAACACAUGCAAGUCGAACGAAGGCUUCGGCCUUAGUGGCGCACGGGUGCGUAACGCGUGGGAAUCUGCCCUUUGGUUCGGAAUAACAGCUGGAAACGGCUGCUAAUACCGGAUGAUGACGAAAGUCCAAAGAUUUAUCGCCAGAGGAUGAGCCCGCGUUGGAUUAGGUAGUUGGUGGGGUAAAGGCCUACCAAGCCGACGAUCCAUAGCUGGUCUGAGAGGAUGAUCAGCCACACUGGGACUGAGACACGGCCCAGACUCCUGCGAGAGGCGGCAGUGGGGAAUAUUGGACAGUGGGCGCAAGCCUGAUCCAGCAAUGCCGCGUGAGUGAUGAAGGCCCUAGGAUUGUAUAGCUCUUUUACCCGGGAAGAUAAUGACUGUACCGGGAGAAUAAGCCCCGGCAAACUCCGU